rnacentral:rRNA from 1 species
GGUAUAGUGCGCUUGGCCCGCCACGGUUUCGUGUGUGAGUGCCGAUGCGCGCUUACCAUCUUUCUGGAGAACGUUCCUGCCCUUUACUGGGUUGGGUUCGCAAUCCAGAACUUUUACUUUGAAAAAAUUAGAGUGUUUAAAGCAGGCGUAAGCUAUGAAUACAUUAGCAUGGAAUAAUGAGAGAGGACUUGAGUCUUAUUUUGUUGGUUAGAGGGACUUAAGUA